UAAUGCUGGAGAUUGUACAGGCCAUCUAUAAGAUGGUUUCUUCAGUGAUGAAGAUGCCAGAGGACGAGUCCACACCUGAGAAACGCACGGAUAAGAUCUUCCGCCAGAUGGACACAAAUCGUGAUGGUAAGCUGUCACUCGAAGAGUUUGUGGAGGGUGCAAAGAGCGACCCGUCCAUCGUGCGACUGUUGCAGUGCGACCCCAGCAGUGCGGGACAGUGAAUCAGCAGUCAUAACCUCUCUUCCGCAAGUCUUUCCGUGUUCGCUCUCCUUCAAAUAUCAGCAGAGCAUGGACUCCAAAACCACAGCCCUAUCUCAGUGUCUGUGGGUUUCCCGCUGAACACCACGCAUGAGAACAUUAUUUCCCCACAGACACAGAUCAGGUAACGGUGAGAACCGGACAUACAGAGAUCAUACACAAGAAGCUUGUGUUCAUGCGUCUCUCUGUAUUUUGAAUUCCUCAUAUAAGGCUUUUUGCGAUUUAACACAACAGGCAGUGAUGCAAGGGACAUCACAUCCUGUUGUAAGCUUUUGGUACUGAAAUAAACCCCUUCGAAAAGAGCUUUAAAUAAUAACAGAGAGGGAGUCGAAGCUAAAUUUUCCAAGAGUGCAAAAUGCACCAGAUAAUGUGACACUUUGUCAAACUUUCGAAAAACAGCAAAAUAUAGCUUAUUUAAGAAUUUAAUCAAUUAAAUCAUUUUACACAAACAAUGACAAAUGUCAUUCCUAGUGUUCCCAGUAUUUCAGUUCCAUUCAGCACAAACAUCUAUUUAAAAGAGAGUCACUUGGGCGACAUAUCAGUUUUUUUACUUAAAUGU